rnacentral:rRNA from 1 species
ACGUAGGGACCAAGCGUUGUUCGGAUUUACUGGGCGUAAAGGGCGCGUAGGCGGCUUGACAAGUCACUUGUGAAAUCUCCGGGCUUAACUCGGAACGGCCAAGUGAAACUGUCAUGCUAGAGUGCAGAAGGGGCAAUCGGAAUUCUUGGUGUAGCGGUGAAAUGCGUAGAUAUCAAGAGGAACACCUGAGGUGAAGACGGGUUGCUGGGCUGACACUGACGCUGAGGCGCGAAAGCCAGGGGAGCAAACGGGA